UACAGAGGUCUCAAGCGUUGUUCGGAUUCAUUGGGCGUAAAGGGUGCGUAGGUGGCGUCGUAAGUCAGGUGUGAAAUCUCGGGGCUUAACUCCGAAACUGCAUUUGAUACUGCGGUGCUUGAGGACUGGAGAGGAGACUGGAAUUUACGGUGUAGCAGUGAAAUGCGUAGAGAUCCGGAGGAAGACCGGUGGCGAAGGCGGUCUGCUGGGCAGUUCCUGACACUGAGGCACGAAGGCCAGGGGAGCAAACGGG
rnacentral:rRNA from 1 species